GACGAACGCUGGCGGCGUGCUUAACACAUGCAAGUCGAGCGAUGAAGCUUCUUCGGAAGCGGAUUAGCGGCGGACGGGUGAGUAACACGUGGGCAACCUGCCCUAUAGAGGGGAAUAGCCUUCCGAAAGGAAGAUUAAUACCCCAUAAGAUUGUAGUUUCACAUGGAACAGCAAUUAAAGGAGCAAUCCGCUAUAGGAUGGGCCCGCGGCGCAUUAGCUAGUUGGUGAGGUAACGGCUCACCAAGGCGACGAUGCGUAGCCGACCUGAGAGGGUGA
rnacentral:rRNA from 1 species